rnacentral:rRNA from 1 species
CUACGGGAUGCUCCAGUGAGGAAUAUUGCACAAUGGGGGGAACCCUGAUGCAGCAACGCCGCGUGGAGGAUGACGCAUUUCGGUGUGUAAACUCCUUUUAUAUGUCAAGAAAAUGACGGUAGCAUAUGAAUAAGCGCCGGCUAACUCCGUGCCAGCAGCCGCGGUAAUACGGAGGGCGCAAGCGUUACUCGGAAUCACUGGGCGUAAAGGACGCGUAGGCGGGUUGGAAAGUCAGGUGUGAAAUCCUACAGCUUAACUGUAGAACUGCACUUGAAACUUCUAAUCUAGAGUAUGGGAGGGGGAGAUGGAAUUAGUGGUGUAGGGGUAAAAUCCGUAGAUAUCACUAGGAAUACCUAAAGCGAAGGCGAUCUCCUGGAACAUUACUGACGCUAAGGCGUGAAAGCGUGGGGAGCAAACAGGAUUAGAUACCCUGGUAGUC